UCCCUCGGGUGCCUCCCUGCCCCGCGGGCAGCCCCGCGCCGCCCUGUCUGGGAGCCGCUCGCAGCCGCGUGCCCGAGGCCGGACGCUGCUUCUGGGCGCUGCCCUGCCCCAGGCGAGGGAAAUCGGCCCGUGGCCCGCAGGGCUGCUCGGCUCCCGGCACUGGGAUCCCAGCUGGGGACGCUGGAACACCCGAGGGGAGCGACUCCGGAUGCGCUCGGAGCACCGCGUCCUCCGGACCUGGAGGUGGGACAAGGCUUUCGCUGUGGCAAAACCGGACCCAGCGCUCGCCUCUCCCCUUGCAGAUCUUCGUGCUGACGUGCACCUACCUGCCGGCCUCGCUGCUGAGGUGGGUCCCGACCCGGCCGGGCGCUGCGAAUCCCGGCAGCACGGUUUGGGGGUUCGGGGGGUGUCAGUGUGCAAUAGCUCUGCGGAGCCCGUGCACUCCCGGCACGAAAUUCCUCCGGGAACUGGGGGCCCCCGAGCGCCUCACGCUUGGGCCUUGCAGCCGGCAGCAAAGCGGAGACGUCCCCGAGCUGCCGCCGGGGAUAAGCGAUGCUCCCGGGGUGCAGCCAGACGUCACCCCCCAGCCACGUCUCUUCCAGCCUCGCGGGCAGCGGAUCGGUCCUGGUGGCGACCACCCGGGGCAGGCGCUGCUGCCGCAGCCAGACCUUCUACGCGGUCUCCUUCCUCAUGGUCAUCGUCUACGCCUACGAAGCCUACUGCGCCAUGCACGGCUGGCGAGCGCGGCCCACGGCGCAGGUCGGUGCCCUGCCAGCUCCGUUACCUGCCGAUCCGGUGCAGGGCGAGCAGGCAGGACGCAGCCGGGGCUCUGCCGCCCCGUGCCCACAGCACUGGCCCCGCAGCAGCCCGGGCUGGCGCAUCCCCAGGGAUUGCAGCGGCUCCUGCUCUAGCCGCGUGGGCUGCCCUGUCCUGGAGGAGCCGGGGCCAUGCCGUGUCCUUGCAGGGCAGCGGCCGGUGCCCGGCGAGCGCGUGGCAGGGGCUGCCCUACGUCCUGGCCUGGUAGGUGCCACCGCUGGGGACAGCGCAGGGUGCAAGGGCUGCAGCCGAGCGCCUCCCGCCCGGCUCUGCCCCACGGCCGCUCCGGCCCCGCUCACCUCCACCUCUCCGGGAAGGCUGGUGCCGGCCCUGACGCUCCUGGGGCAGCUCAUUUCCCGCGGCGUCUCCCUGACCGACGUGGCGCCGCGGCCGGAGGAGCCCGCCUGGCCCUGGAAGGGCAACAGCUCCCGCGAGUCGUACGGCCUCUACUGCUCCAGGUACUCGGCUCCGUGUCCCUGGGCAGCGGGCACGGGAAACCUGGGGCAGCGAAAGCUUUCGGGGGGACAAGGACACCCCUUGCCAUGGGGACGAUGCUGCGGUGGGGACAGUCACACGUCUCCGUUUCAGCUGCCUGCUCCUGAUCCACCGUGCCCAGGACAUGUGCUACGAGUACAUAGGAAGGAAGGACGCGGUCCUGGAGGAGAAAGUCGUCUUCCUCCUGUACCUGCUGCUGGUGCUCAGCUGCUGCACAGUAAGUCAGCCGCGGCCCUGCUCGCCAGGAUGCGCAUGGCCGUGCAGCGCUGGC
ensembl:lncRNA